CCUACGGGAGGCAGCAGUGAGGAAUAUUGGUCAAUGGACGAGAGUCUGAACCAGCCAAGUAGCGUGAAGGAUGACUGCCCUAUGGGUUGUAAACUUCUUUUAUAUGGGAAUAAAACGUUCCACGUGUGGGAUUUUGUAUGUACCAUAUGAAUAAGGAUCGGCUGACUCCGUGCCAGCAGCCGCGGUAAUACGGAGGAUCCGAGCGUUAUCCGGAUUUAUUGGGUUUAAAGGGAGCGUAGGUGGAUUGUUAAGUCAGUUGUGAAAGUUUGCGGAUCAACCGUAAAAUUGCAGUUGAAACUGGCAGUCUUGAGUACAGUAGAGGUGGGCGGAAUUCGUGGUGUAGCGGUGAAAUGCUUAGAUCUCACGAAGAACUCCGAUUGCGAAGGCAGUUCACUGGACUGCAACUGACACUGAGGCUCGAAAGUGUGGGUAUCAAACAGGAUUAGAUACCCGAGUAGUC
rnacentral:rRNA from 1 species